CCCGAUUCUGGCCUCACGGCAAAACAAGAACAAAGAACAUGGAGGGUCAACGCGGCUGUGCUGUUCGGAAGAGGGGAGGACCAUGUCACUGCACGAUCCGUACCGGUAGCACGAGCCGUCCCAUCAGCUCAUUUGCGCAUGCGCGAACUGAAUAACCUCCGGCUAAGUUACAUAUUGGACCAGGACCGUUCUGAUAGUAAAGGAGGGAAGUGUGUGUCUGACACGAGAGGAUUUCUAGUCCUUGGGGUUAAAUCAGUGCAUGGAAUCAAAUAUUGGAAAUGCUUGCCUGAAAAUAGUGGAGGAAACGGCAAAGAUGUGUAAUUAAAUUGCUUAGAUCUUCUGUUUUAAGCCCUAUGAACCAAUCAAAAUGCUUAACAUCAUUCUUUCUGUUUUCAUAAGGGAAGAGAAAUACACAUCUCCGAUCUGUGUGUGGUGCCCCUGUGGAAGUCAGAACAUGUGGAUCCUUUGUGUUCAUUGGCUGACCUGACAACAAAAGAUGUUGUAGCUUUCCCAGCUGGAACCAACAACAAGGCGCUGCUGAUCACUACCUCCUCUAUGUAAUGACAUUUUUCUGUUUAAAAUAAUUUUAGUGAAUGAUGGAUAUGUAUUGCUAUUUAAUUAUGUGAUAAUAAAAAUAAUAUCAAUUGCAGGUUCUACUGGUAAAACAGAGAGAGACAGUGUUUCUUGACUCCCUUCGACCUGAUGGUUUUGGCGACGAGGCCUACAGAAAUAUAUUUAGGUUCAAGCUAUAUAAAUUCACUGGUUAUGGCCUAUUGCCAGUUCUGUUUCUUCGGAUAUAUGUUCAUAAAAGCCUCGUUCUCAGGCUACUUGUAUAUUGCAGUGUUUCACACCGUAAUCUAAAUUUAUAAUUCAAAUGUGUUUAGACGCAUUGCUGCCUUAUCAAUCAUGGUCUGAGAAGACAGGGGGAGACCUUGAAGUAUGUUUUUACUUAUCAAAGUGUGAACAGUUUGCAAUAAAACACAUAUUUAUCGCUAAUAUAUGGUUUUACUUUUCUCUAAUUUUACAUGUGUCUUUUAGCAUAGUUCUUAAGAUGUUUGUACAAUCAGUUCUUAAUUUAAUGCAUAAAGUUUUCUCUCUCUCUAAAUUUUUUUUUCCCUUUUCAAAUUACAACCCAUUUUAACCUUAUCAGCAUUUCAUAUAGGUUUUAAGGCCUAGUUAAAAAUUUUUCUCGCCUGUUCUAAUCGUAUUUGUGUAUAGUUUGGUGGUAGUGGGAAAUGAGUUUUUUGCUGUUUAAUUUACAAUGUUGUUUGAUUUACAUGUUUUGUUUUGAAGUUUUCAGAGGACACUUUACAGGAUAUUAGAGCAAGAUCUUUUCUUUAGAUAAAAGGUUAAUAAGCAAUGAUUAGGUUUUUUUCUUUUUAAAAAGCAAAAAUGUUUCCCAGUUGUGGUUAGGGAAAUAAAAAUAUAUACACCGUUUCAUAAAGCACAUAAAAAACCCUGCUAUAAACACAUA